GUAGGUGGCAAGCGUUGUCCGGAACUAUUGGGCGUAAAGCGCGCGCAGGCGGUUCUUUAAGUCUGAUGUGAAAGCCCACGGCUCAACCGUGGAGGGUCAUUGGAAACUGGAGAACUUGAGUACAGAAGAGGAAAGCGGAAUUCCACGUGUAGCGGUGAAAUGCGUAGAGAUGUGGAGGAACACCAGUGGCGAAGGCGGCUUUCUGGUCUGUAACUGACGCUGAGGCGCGAAAGCGUGGGGAGCAAACAGGAUUAGAUACCCUGGUAGUCCACGCCGUAAACGAUGAGUGCUAAGUGUUAGGGGGGUUUUCCGCCCCCCUUAGUGCUGCAGCUAACGCAUUAAGCACUCCGCCUGGGAGUACGGCCGCAAGGCUG
rnacentral:rRNA from 1 species